ACUAACAUAGUUUAAAUAAAACAUUAAUUUUGUAAAUUGAAAAUAUUUAUAUAAUAAAUUUAUAGUA
rnacentral:tRNA from 1 species